rnacentral:rRNA from 1 species
GACGAACGCUGGCGGCGUGCUUAACACAUGCAAGUCGAACGGAAAGGCCCUGCUUUUGUGGGGUGCUCGAGUGGCGAACGGAUGAGUAACACAUGAGUAACCUGCCCUUGACUUUGGGAUAACUUCAGGAAACUGGGGCUAAUACCGGAUAGGAGCUCCUGCUGCAUGGUGGGGGUUGGAAAGUUUCGGCGGUUGGGGAUGGACUCGCGGCUUAUCAGCUUGUUGGUGGGGUAGUGGCUUACCAAGGCUUUGACGGGUAGCCGGCCUGGGAGGGUGACCGGCCACAUUGGGACUGAGAUACGGCCCAGACUCCUACGGGAGGCAGCAGUGGGGAAUAUUGCACGAUGGGCGGAAGCCUGAUGCAGCAACGCCGCGUGCGGGAUGACGGCCUUCGGGUUGUACACCGAUUUCGCCUGUGCCGAAGCGUGAGUGACGGUAAUGGGUAAAGAAGCACCGGCUAACUACGUG